CGGAGUAGCAGUGGCCGCGACGAAGGUGGGGCUGGGAGGUGCAGUAGCCUAAACGGCAGGCGCGGCGGCGGCGGGAAUUAGCAACGCAGCAGCAGCAGCAGCGACCGCGGUGGGGUUGGGAGGUGCAGUAGCCUAAACGGCAGGCGCAGCAGCGGCGGGAAAUAGAGACAGCAGCAGGCGCGGCGGUGGCAGGAAUUAGCAACGGAGUAGCAGCGGCCGCGACGAAGGUGGGGCUGGGAGGUGCAUUAGUCUGAACAACAGGCGCGGCGGCGGCGGGAAAUAGCAACAGCAGCAGGCGCGGCGGUGGUGGGAAUUAGCAACGGAGUAGCAGCGGCAGCGACGGUUAAGGGGCUGGGAGGUGCAUUAGUCUGAACAACAGGCGCGGCAGCGGCGGGAAAUAGCAACAGCAGCAGGCGCGGCGGCGGCGGGAAUUAGCAACGGAGUAGCAGCGGCAGCGAUGAAGGUGGGGCUGGGAGGUGCAAUUGUCUGAACAACAGGCGCGGUGGCGGCGGGAAAUAGCAACAGCAGCAGGCGCGGCGGCGGUGGGAAUUAGCAACGGAGUAGCAGCGGCAGCCACGGCGGUGGGGCUGGGAGGUGCAUUAGUGAGGGCCUUUAUUUUACAAAAAUGGGCGACAUCCAAUUGGCCAUCCAAUCUUUUCUCUCUUCACUCUCUUCCAAGUGAUGUAGCCACAGAGAACAUACAAUCACUAUUUUGGUAUUGCUGUGGCUGCCAGUUCAACUCUGGCAUGGAAGUCAUUUUCCUUACUCUGACUAUAUACCUACUACUAUUAUACUAAAGGGUAGUACCAGUGCUACUAUAUACAUACAAGUAUGGCAGGCGGCUGGCAGAAGUUAAGGCCUGACUUCUGCUCCCAGUCGAUCCAGUCGACCCGGGUUCAAAUCCGCCUGCCAG
rnacentral:lncRNA from 1 species